rnacentral:rRNA from 1 species
GAUCCUACGGGGGGCAGCAGUGGGGAAUAUUGCACAAUGGGGGAAACCCUGAUGCAGCAACGCCGCGUGGGUGAAGAAGUAUUUCGGUAUGUAAAGCCCUAUCAGCAGGGAAGAGAAUGACGGUACCUGACUAAGAAGCCCCGGCUAACUACGUGCCAGCAGCCGCGGUAAUACGGAGGAUGCGAGCGUUAUCCGGAUUUAUUGGGUUUAAAGGGUGCGCAGGCGGCACGGCAAGCCGGCGGUCAAAUCGCGGGGCUCAACCCCGCCCAGCCGUCGGAACUGCCGGGCUAGAGUGGGCGAGAAGG